rnacentral:misc_RNA from 1 species
UCCACCUCCGCCUUUUCGAGUCUCCACAGAUUCUUUUUGAAUGCACCAAUUCUGUGAUGAGUUCAGAAUUGGAGGAAUCUCCAAUUUUCCAUCAACAAAUUUUUAACUAAUGGCAAUACAAAAACAUCAACGGAUAGGAGUUGGCGGAGGUGGAUAUUAGUAGGUUUUUAAUUGUAUUAUUGCAUUAACUCGGCUACCACAAGUGCCU